rnacentral:rRNA from 1 species
GAUGAACGCUGGCGGCGUGCCUAAUACAUGCAAGUCGAGCGAAUGGAUUAAGAGCUUGCUCUUAUGAAGUUAGCGGCGGACGGGUGAGUAACACGUGGGUAACCUGCCCAUAAGACUGGGAUAACUCCGGGAAACCGGGGCUAAUACCGGAUAACAUUUUGAACCGCAUGGGUCGAAAUUGAAAGGCGGCUUCGGCUGUCACUUAUGGAUGGACCCGGGUCGCAUUAGCUAGUUGGUGAGGUAACGGCUCACCAAGGCAACGAUGCGUAGCCGACCUGAGAGGGUGAUCGGACACACUGGGACUGAGACACGGCCCAGACUCCUACGGGAGGCAGCAGUAGGGAAUCUUCCGCAAUGGACGAAAGUCUGACGGAGCAACGCCGCGUGAGUGAUGAAGGCUUUCGGGUCGUAAAACUCUGUUGUUAGGGAAGAACAAGUGCUAGUUGAAUAAGCUGGCACCUUGACGGUACCUAACCAGAAAGCCACGGCUAACUACGUGCCAGCCGCCGCGGUAA